rnacentral:SRP_RNA from 1 species
CCGUGCUAGGUGGGGAAGUAGCGGUGCCCUGCACUCGCAAUCCGCUCUAGCGAGGCCGAAUCCCCGUCCGAGGGGUGUGUGUCUUGGGGUCAGCGUGCCGCGCGACGGUGUCGAUGGCCAGGUCCCGUGCGAUGGACGUCCGUGAACCAGGUCAGAUCCGGGAGGAAGCAGCCUUAAGCGAUCCCGUCCGUGCGCCGCGGGUUCGCCUGGUCGGAGCCGGAGCACGGAAGCGCGCCCAGGGGAUCCACUUCGACGCCGGGUGCACGG